UGCGUAGGGUGCAAGCGUUGUCCGGAAUUAUUGGGCGUAAAGAGCUCGUAGGCGGUUCGUCGCGUCGGCUGUGAAAACCCGGAGCUCAACUCCGGGCCUGCAGUCGAUACGGGCGGACUCGAGUUCGGCAGGGGAGACUGGAAUUCCUGGUGUAGCGGUGAAAUGCGCAGAUAUCAGGAGGAACACCGGUGGCGAAGGCGGGUCUCUGGGCCGAUACUGACGCUGAGGAGCGAAAGCGUGGGGAGCGAACAGG
rnacentral:rRNA from 1 species